rnacentral:rRNA from 1 species
AGUGAACGCUGGCGGUAGGCCUAACACAUGCAAGUCGAACGGCAGCACAGUAAGAGCUUGCUCUUACGGGUGGCGAGUGGCGGACGGGUGAGGAAUACAUCGGAAUCUACUUUUUCGUGGGGGAUAACGUAGGGAAACUUACGCUAAUACCGCAUACGACCUACGGGUGAAAGCAGUGGAUCUUCGGACCUUGCGCGAUUGAAUGAGCCGAUGUCGGAUUAGCUAGUUGGCGGGGUAAAGGCCCACCAAGGCGACGAUCCGUAGCUGGUCUGAGAGGAUGAUCAGCCACACUGGAACUGAGACACGGUCCAGACUCCUACGGGAGGCAGCAGUGGGGAAUAUUGGACAAUGGGCGCAAGCCUGAUCCAGCCAUACCGCGUGGGUGAAGAAGGCCUUCGGGUUGUAGAGCCCUUUUGUUGGGAAAGAAAAGCAGCAGGUUAAUACCCCGCUGUUCUGACGGUACCCAAAGAAUAAGCACCGGCUAACUUCGUG